AAGACGUGCCCUGACGUUUUUAUAGCACUCGAUAACGCGGCUGGGCUCUACCCCAGAUGGCGUGAGUCUGUAUCGAUGAUAUCGUCGUUCGGAUGUCAAUGCGCUCGGACUCUAGGAACCCCUUGCAAACACACCGCUCUCCAUUUAUAUACAAUAAAUCUUCUAGGAAUCGACGCAUUACUAUGACAUCGACGUUCUGUCAGCCGCAUAAGUUGUGGGUUUCAGGGUGCAGCGGGAAACAUGGUUGGGGGAGGCUGGUUUUGUCAUCGUCAACACGGAGAAAAUCGAAGCACGACGAACUUGAGAUGCAGGAGUGUGAUAUAAGGUGCAAAUGUAUGAAAUUGAAAAAAUUUCAUCUGUAGAGUAUGAAAUUGUACGGUGAAAGCCCU
rnacentral:misc_RNA from 1 species